UACGGGGGGAGCAAGCGUUGUUCGGAUUUACUGGGCGUAAAGGGCGCGUAGGCGGUCGUGACAAGUCACUUGUGAAAUCUCCGGGCUUAACUCGGAACGGUCAAGUGAUACUGUCGGACUAGAGUACAGAAGGGGCAACUGGAAUUCUCGGUGUAGCGGUGAAAUGCGUAGAUAUCGAGAGGAACACCUGCGGCGAAGGCGGGUCUCUGGGCCGUAACUGACGCUGAGGAGCGAAAGCGUGGGGAGCGAACAGG
rnacentral:rRNA from 1 species